AGCGGCGGCGGCGGCUCCGCUGCCGGGCAGGGACGUGCCCCGGCUGCCGGGCGGCGGCUUCGCGCUCGGCGGAAACAAGAAGGGGGAAAGGAAGGGAGCGGCAGUGGGAGCCGGCACCGGCGGCCACCGUUAGCGGCGGCGAGGGGAGGAGGAGCCGCCGCCGCGGAGGUCCGCAGGCGGAGCGGGAGCAGCGGAGCGGGAGCGGAGCCCGGGCGCCGGCGCCGCGGCGAGGGAGCGAGCGGGAGCGUGCCCGCCGCCGCGCCCCUCCAUUUUGCGGGAGCCGGGGCGAGAUGGAGCAAUUAUCAGAUGAAGAACUUGACCAUGGUGCAGAAGAAGAUAGUGAUAAGGAAGAUCAAGAUCUGGACAAGAUGUUUGGGGCCUGGCUGGGAGAACUGGACAAACUCACACAGAGUUUGGACACAGACAAGCCUGUGGCACCAGUGAAGAGAUCACCUCUCCGCCAAGAAACUAAUCUUGCCAACUUCUCAUAUCGCUUCUCCAUGUACAAUUUGAAUGAAGCCCUGAAUCAGGGGGAGACUGUGGAUCUAGAUGCCCUCAUGGCUGAUCUCUGUUCCAUAGAGCAGGAGCUCAGCAACAUUGGGUCUCAUUCAGCAAACAGUGCUGCAGUGAAGCGCCUACCCACAGAAACCAAAGCUCAGAAACCACCUGCUAGUCGACCUUCUGCUAAGCACAGCAGCAUGAAAGGAUUAUCCUCUUCAUCUGGUAAGGUGACUAAACCAUCACAUGCCAAUGUUUCUUUGGAUGACAUCACUGCACAGUUAGAGAAGGCCUCCUUGAGCAUGGAUGAGGCAGCCCAACAGUCUGUCUCAGAAGACACUAAACCUGCUCAGCACAGGAGGACAGCAUCGGCUGGCACAGUGAGUGAUGCUGAAGUGCAUUCCAUCAGCAACUCCUCCCGUUCCAGUGUAACCUCUGCAGCUUCCAGCAUGGACUCCUUGGAUAUCGAUAAGGUGACGAGACCUCAGGAGCUGGACUUGACGUCGCAAGGGCAACCAGUCACUGAGCACUCCUAUUUGGACAGGGAAACCUCCCUCCUUCUGAGAAACAUUGCAGGAAAGCCUUCUCAUUUGCUGACCAAGGAGGAACAGGCUGCUAAACUCAAAGCUGAGAAGAUUAGGGUUGCGUUAGAGAAGAUUAAAGAGGCACAAGUGAAAAAGUUGGUUAUCAGAGUCCACAUGUCUGAUGACAGCUCAAAAACAAUGAUGGUGGAUGAGAGGCAGACAGUGAGACAAGUACUAGACAAUUUGAUGGACAAAUCACAUUGUGGUUACAGUUUGGACUGGUCAUUGGUAGAAACCAUCUCUGAAUUGCAAAUGGAAAGAAUCUUUGAAGAUCAUGAAAAUUUAGUUGAAAAUCUUCUGAACUGGACAAGAGACAGUCAGAACAAACUAAUGUUUGUGGAACGUAUAGAGAAAUAUGCACUUUUCAAGAAUCCCCAGAACUAUCUUCUGGGGAAAAAAGAAACCUCUGAGAUGGCAGACAGAAAUAAAGAGGUGCUGCUAGAGGAAUGUUUCUGUGGAAGUUCUGUAACAGUGCCAGAAAUUGAGGGAGUUUUGUGGCUGAAAGAAGAUGGUAAGAAGUCUUGGAAGAAACGUUAUUUUCUUCUUCGAGCUUCUGGAAUCUACUAUGUCCCUAAAGGGAAAGCAAAGGUAUCGCGGGAUCUUGUGUGCUUUCUACAGCUUGAUCAUGUCAAUGUUUACUAUGGGCAAGACUAUCGGAACAAGUAUAAAGCACCUACAGACUACUGUUUAGCACUAAAGCAUCCUCAGAUCCAAAAGAAAUCCCAGUAUAUCAAGUAUCUUUGCUGUGAUGAUGUAAGAACUCUACACCAGUGGAUCAAUGGCAUCCGCAUUGCUAAGUAUGGAAAGCAACUGUACAUGAACUAUCAGGAAGCACUGAAGAGGACAGAAUCGGCAUAUGACUGGACUUCCUUGUCUAGCUCCAGUAUCAAGUCAGGCUCCAGCUCAUCUAGUUUGCCAGAGUCUCAAUCAAAUCAUUCCAAUCAGUCUGACAGUGGAGUUUCUGACACCCAGCCAACUGGACAUGUCCGUUCCCAAAGUAUCGUCAGCUCCAUGUUCUCUGAGGCCUGGAAGCGAGGCACUCAGCUGGAAGAAUCCAGCAAGGCCCGAUCCGAGCCUGCAGGUCGGCCCUUCGCGUCUCUUGCACCUCCUGUGUCCCCGCAGACAAAAGUGGCGGCCCCCUACGCCGCAUCGCAGCCGUCCCCCCCGCUGCCCCCACCACCCCCACCCCCGCCGCCCCCACCCCCACCCCCGCCUCCACCCCCACCCCCACCGCUCCCCAGCCAGGCGGCCCCCUCCGCCGGCUCCCCCGCCACCAUGUUCGUCAAGUACAGCACCAUCACCAGGCUGCAGAAUGCGGCCCAGCACGGCGGCCCCUUCGCCAAGGCGCCUGGCCCCCCGCAGGCCCCCACACCCCCCCUGCCCACCGGCAAGCCCCAUGUCCUGGUGCCCCCCAAUGGCAUCAUGCCGCCUCCCCCCCCUCCACCGCCUCCCCCCACGCCGGGCUCAGCCAUGGCGCAGCUGAAGCCGGCGCCUUGUGCCCCCUCGGUGCCGCAGUUCACCCCUCCACCCCCCCCCCCCAAAAUCCAUCAAGUGCAACCAAAUCUAAGCCAGGUGGCUGCUGCUGCUGCCUCCCCACUGCCCCCGCCUCCUCCCCCCGUGCCUGCCCCGCCGCCACCCCAGGCACCCCCAAAGCCCCUCAUGACAGCUCUCCCCACCCAGCCUUGCGGGAAGGCAACAUCGCCAGGGGUCACGCAUGUCGCACCCUCUGGGCCCGCUCCCUUGCCCCCAGCUAUAAAGAAACAGCCAAGUGUCACCUCUCCCCAGGUGCCCCCCCCAGCCCCAGCCCCUCCCAGCCUCACUCCCCCCCCUACUUUCCCAAAGCAGCAGAGCUUUUCCAUGAAGCCCCCUCCAUCCCCUCAGUCCCCAGUGCCAUCGGUGGUGAAGCAGAUAGCCAGCCAGUUCCCACCUCCUCCCACCCCACCUGCCAUCGAGCCCCAGCCUCUAAAGCCCCUUCCGCUGAGUGUGGCUCCGCAGUCACCUCCAGCAGUGAAGGCAAAGCCCAAGUGGCAACCUGUUGCUGUUCCCUCACCUGAUUUCCCCCCUCCUCCACCAGAAAGCAGUUUAGUGUUUCCUCCUCCACCUCCUUCCCCAGCUACCUCUGCAGGUUCUCCCCCUCCUGACAAAUCAGGGUCUCCAGUCAAAAAGACCAGCAAGACAUCAAGCCCAGGAGGGAAGAAACCACCUCCAACACCUCAGCGAAACUCCAGCAUCAAGUCCACCAGCUCCACUGAGUACCACGACUCCAAGAGACCUUCAGUGGACCGCCUUGUUAGCAAAUUUGCACACCCACCAGAGCCGUCGGGGUCUCCUUCCAAGGAGUCGUCACCUCCUGCAGCCCCUCCAAAGCCGGGAAAGCUCAACCUUUCUGGGGUGAGCCUGCCGAUCGUCCUUCCGCAAGGAGGGAUCCCGACCAAGGCUCCUGCCCUGGGUAUGGCCGGGAAGGAACCAGUGGUUGAAUUCCCUUCGCCACCAUCGGAUUCAGACUUUCCACCACCACCACCUGAAAUAGAUCUUCCUCCCCCACCGGUUGAGAUCCCAUCCGUGUUUUCAGGCAGCACCUCCCAAAAAGUCGCUGUCGUCAAUCCUCAGCCUCAGGCGUGGUCAAAACCAUCUGUGAAGAAAGCCCUGCCGCCCACGCGUCCCAAGCGGAAUGACAGCACUCGGCUGACGCAGGCGGAUGCAGCAGAGCCGCCGGGGUCGGCCGGCCCCCAAGUGCCCACUUCGCCCAAGUCCAGCCUUAGCGUUCAGCCGGGAUUCCUGGCAGACCUCAACCGGACGCUGCAGCGGAAAUCCAUCACCCGGCACGGCUCCCUCUCGUCUGCGCGCGUGUCCCGAGCCGAGCCCACGGCCACCAUGGAUGACAUGGCCUUGCCCCCGCCCCCACCCGAGCUGCUGGCCGACCAGCAGAAGACGACAAGCAGCUUUGGGGGCAGCCACAUAUCCGGCUAUGCAACGUUACGGAGGGGGCCGCCCCCUGCGCCCCCCAAAAGGGAUCAAAACACCAAGCUGUCGCGGGACUGGUAGUCGGUCCCCAGGGCCGGUGCUUCAGUGACCUGUGAGCAGCCAGCCCGCGACGGUGUGUGCCUGGAGAGAGCGCGGGGACCUGGACGGUAGCUCCAUCACGAGAGGCUUGAUCAUUUGUUUUUACGACUCGAGUAUUUGUGUUAACCCCUUCAAAAAGCUGCCAGAACUCCUGCAGUCGAUGCCGACUCACAAGGCCGACCCACCGAAACAUCACUUGUUACGUGUGCUUCUUUUCCCCAGUGAACAGGUAGGUGUCUGUAGAGAGUGUUGUUUCUCACACAGACAUAUAUAACGUACAAUCUCAUCUUGUUUGUGCCUGAUAGGAUGUAUUAUCUUUACAAAAGAAAAUGUUGGGAAAACAUUUACGGAAAGCGUUGUUUGUAAUUCAUUAGAAAUCGGCAGGAGAUUUCCCUUCCGCAAAGAGAGAAGGGAAUAAUUUCAGUCUGAGCAUAGCUGGAAUUCUGUUUUCUUUGACCUGCCAGAGACCGUGACCAAUGCAUAAACCUAUUAAUUAUGAAGUUGCACUUCUAGCAAUCAGGGCAGAUGACUGGGGGGAAAAAAUUGAGGCAAUAACAUUUGCUAAUAAUUUAAUUUAACAGGCUCUUAUUAGCAGGAAAUAGACUAUCAUAUUUGGUUUAUUUAUUUGCCACUGAUUUACAAUCAAUCACCAGAUCAAAAUGCUAGAGACCCUUUCUUGUACUUCAGUAGCUUGUACAGUCUCACCCACGUAUUGGGCGUCGUGUAAUGGUAGUGUAGUUAGCAUAAGUGGUCUUGCGUAUCGUGCAUGUUCAGUGCAGGGUAGUGGUACACAAUCUUUGUAAAGUAACUAAAAUCCUUGGGCUGUACCUACCCCAUCCUCAGUUGUUACAACAUCCCUGAUGGUCGCUAAAGGAUGGUCACUGUCCAGGUUCGGAUGGCAAAUGGUUUUACUCUUUGUUUCCCUUUUCUUCAAAAACAAAUUUUAAAUGCUUUCCUUUCCCCAAAGAAAGAAAGGAAGGAAUAGCUUGACUUGACAAUAUCUUCUUAUGUGUAAAAUAGAUGGAAACUAAUCUCUCAUUAGAGCAAAAUAGUUGUAAUUCAAGCUGAUAGAUUUAAGAAAUAUUAUGACAGUGUCCCCCGUUCCUUUUUUUAUAGUGUUUUUAAAAAUCCAAAUAAUAAAGUAAAUAUCUUUGUGAAUAAUUUAUGAAUAGAAAAAAAGUUUUGCCAAUUAGAGAGAAAAAAUGACACAUCUAUAAUUAUAUAGUUUUAAAUAAGUGCAUCAUGAAAAGAGAAAAAAAGAAUGGUGCUGUCUCUGCUGACCUGUUUCAUAUGAUUUUUUUUUAAUCUAUUUCAGCACCUCUGCAAAUGGUUCUAAUAUAUCAGACUAGUUUUUUUGAGCAAUAAGAAUAUACCAUUGUGUGCAUUUUUAAAGCACUGCUGUGGAAAGGCACUUUUUUGUAUCUUUCAAAUUGUUCACAAAGUUUUCUUUCUACUAUUUUUGUGCUUAUAAAGUGUCCUUAAAAGCAUUUGCAUUGUUGAUUUUAAGUAUGCUCAGUGUAGCUGGCCAAUAACUUCACAGGAAGGUUGUUAAGCUACACUGCAGUUCAUGGGUGCUGUAAUUUUCUACGUUGGUCCUCCUGCUGCUUUGUACCGUACGGAGCCCCUGGGGCUUACGCCCGCCAGUGGAGCGCGAGGAGCGCAGCAACGGCCGUAACUCCCGGCCCGUAGCGGCGAGAGGUAAGUGGACAGUCUGCGACUCCUUGGCGAGGUGUGCCUGGGCUGACGAGCACGCGCUCCGACGGGCGCGCUGGGCAGCUGCGCUUGCCCCGUCCUGGUUUACUUCCCCCCAGAAGAGCUCCACUGGCACGUGUUGGUCCCAGCCCUCUUCUGUUCAUUCUGUGCGGGUACCUCUGGGAUCUGCUCUUGGCAGAGGAAUGUUUUGAGUGCAAUUUCUUCAGAGGCAUUUGAGCUUUGUUCUUGUUCUCCUGUGCCCAGAUUUGUUUACCCCCAUAUCUCCCACUGGGCAAUGAAUCCAUGCUUACUACCACGGCACAGCUUGCUGGGAGACAGAGGCGUAACUCUGGGCUUGCAGCAGAGGGAAUGACUGUGAGCAAAGGUGGCAGCCCGUAUUCCUCUGUUAACGCUCCCUAAGUCAGUAGCAAUGCAAAAACGUAAUGCGUGGCUGCAGCUUGCUGUCUCAGCUGAGCACUGACAUUUGGCUACAGAGUGGUUCAGACAACCUGGUGGCCUUUCCAGCUUAUGAGACCCCUCAUUGUAACUUGCUUUUCCAGUGUAUUUACUGUUUUUAUGAUGGUAAAUAUUUAUGCCUUACUUGCAAGUUAGUUGUUUUUUCCCCUUGAACGCUGGUCUCGUAAUUGGAUGACUGCGUGUGUUAAAAUCUUAACACAAGGGAGCCAGAUCUCAGACAGACUGUGAGAAGUUUGCUGCUAAAAACACGUUGUCUGAAAUCCUUUAGGCACUUAUUGAAGGAGCAGGUGAGAGUGAGCUUUCAUACUCCGGACACAGAGAGCAGCUGCUUUGAGCCUGAGGUAGGGGUAGCGUACAGGAGCCUUUGAGGCAGGGAAGCUCUGCUGCUGCGGGAGCGGCUGAGAGCGGCCGGCUGCGCUCCACGCUCCUGUCCGGGGCAGCAGCAGCAGCAGGGCCCUGCUCAGCCUGCACGGAGGGGGUUUCCCGGUACAGGCAGUGCAGGGUAAGGGCAGGGGGCUAGUGCACGCUAAUACUUCUGCGGUAAUUUGGCUCCUGCAGAAUUGUGCUGGAAAGGAAAUGAGGCUUCUCGUAGCAACACUCAUUUUAGAACAUUUUUAACAACCCACAACUUCUGAGCAAGUGGUUCUAAACAAAUCACAGGUACUGGGGUUGGGGCGGGGGAGAGAGCCUGUUUUGUUUUUCAGACCUGACAUUUGAGGGAGGAGGUGUAGGCACAGGUGUGUUCCCCCCCCUCCCCCCAAAAAAAAAAAAAAAAAAAAAAAAAAUCUCAGCUAUUUUCUGUGGAAGAGGAGAGCUCCUGCUCCCACCUGUGCAGCUCCUCUCCCCAGCUCGGCGUGCAGGUUCCUGCAGGGCAACAGCGAGUGAGUGAGGAGGCAUCAAGGAAACAAAGUGAAGGUACCUGAGUCGCUUUGGUUUCAGGACUGAUGGGAGAGGGAGCAGUUUCUUUAAACAAACAAACAAGUGCAUUUGGAGAUUUACUGUUCUGGACUUGCACAUUAAGAGUUUCUUAUUUCUUCUUUCUGUGCCCUUAGGCAACCAGAUAGAUAGCACAAAUCAGCUCAGAGAUAAAGUAUGCCAGUUUUGCUCUGGGUUAAAAUUACUUUUUCCACAGUCAAAGGAACGAAAAGUGCUGUUUCAGCAGCAGAAGAGGAAAAAGAAAACUUCUCUGCUUGUUACAGAAACUGCACAGAACUAGAUUGUUUUACUUCAGUGGUGCUAUUGCAGGUAAAAUUGUUUCUUAUUCAAAAUACAAUUGUAAGCGGGUCUGUGUGACUACUUCAAAUGCCAAGUCAGGUUACAAUCAAUCAGUCACAGUGCCUUGAUUAAUAGGGGCAUUGUAUGGAGUGUUGGCUUUAAUGAUGGCUGGGGAACAUUUAUUGUGCGAGAAAAUCAGAUUUACCUAUUGAAAAUGUUUUUAACUUAAACAGAGUCAAACUCUUCUCGGCUCAGAGCUGUACUGGUAUUAUUUUCAUUUUUCUCUCACUCACAGAAUUUCCAAGAUUCGACUCGCUUCGUGUUCAUUAGCGUUUAGUUUUAAGUAGUGGCAGAGGUCUGUAAAGGCAUUUGCUGUUUGUUUGGUGUGUAUGUGUGCGUGUGACUCCCACCUGGUGAGCAUACGUGCUUUCCUGGAGUUUCAUCUCUGACCAAACACAAAAGCGGCAUAAACUGCUGACAUAAGGUAGUGAAGAUAAAGCCAGAAUACAUGUUUUUCCCUCUGCGAAGCUAAGAGUAUAGGUUACGUACUUCUUCCAACAGUGCUCCUACUCUGUCCAGGGGAGAGGGAGGCCAUGCUUCCCCACAGCCCAGGACAGCCUCAGCUGUGGGUCCUGUUUAGCUUUGCACUGCCUUGCUCGCUUUAGAGAGGAGACUCAGACGAGAGAGGAUUUAACACUAGGGGGGACAGUUGGUCUUAGAUGGUUCUGUAAUGUGUGUGUGAGGGGCAAACUGUUAAGUUUUUAUUUGGAAACUGUAAGUUAGUUUGUCAUAAAUAGAAUCAUUUUCAUUUCUAAUUUUUUCCUUCAAUGAAAAAAGAAUCCCAUGAAGAAUAACAAACCCAGCAUUGUAUCACAGGGGUAAGCACUAAUAUUGUGACCUAAUGAGUCACAGGCUUUAUCUACAGUUUUGAAAAGUUUAAGACACUAAGUUGCAAAUAAGGUGACAACACACGCUUAUCCUUCAUGGUGUAAGUUAAAGUACUUGCACUCCACUAAUACAGAGAAAAAUAGUGGUUUGUGUUGAUUGCUAUUUGGUGCUCGGAGGCACUAGGCAGGGCAAGGGUUCAGUGAACUGUGUUCAUCAGAGUUGGGCAUCUGUGAGGGAAGAUGGGAAGCUGGACAGGAGGAACGGGAACCGGUGCUAUGCGCAGUCCCCCGCGGUGCGGGGGAGGCAGGGGAGAGGGAGAAGGAACUUCAGUAACUGCGUUUGAGAAACCGUCGCACUGAAGGCAACGUCCUGUAGGAGAUUUAGGGAUUGAAUCAGCUGUUCCCAACUGGGGAAAGUAACUUUCUCCCAUCUUUCUAGCUGUGGGAAUUUCACUGCUGGCUGUCAAAGAUGCGGGCAGAGCUAAAUUCCAGGUACACAGAUGUGCUUACGGGGGGGGGGCUGAAGUGCGUGCUGCUGAUCUGCAGCAGCUGUUUGGUCUGGACCUUGCGCAUCUCUGCCCUUGACUAACCACCCCGGUACCUCUGGGGCACAUACUGGGACGGGGUGGGCAAAGGAUAGUCUAGCAAAAAAAAAAUAUCUAGAAAUGGCCCACCUUUGGCAUUUCUUACCUGUGCAAGAGGCUCCCUUCUGCGGAUUUGGUGCAGCACUGUAAAGCUUGUACUUUAAGAAGGAAAACUAAAUGCUUUGUCACAGGCUGUAAUUGCGAAUCUUAGGUCUCCUCCUAGCAGUCUGCUAUGGAUCAGAAAUUAAACUGGAGCAAGCAGUUUGUUUUAUGGCUUACACUAAUUGUUAGCAGCCACUGGUGAUGUCCUGUAUAAUACUGGGGAUGCAAAUGUAAGAAAAAAAUGUCAUUGCAAUGAUGAUUUGUUUGUGCAGCAAACUUGUGCUGAGUGCUGUAAAUACAUUCAUGUUUACUGCUUUAAAAAGAAAAUUGCACAUUUUAUCUUUCAAUGGGAUUGCCUCCCCUCUUCUUCCCUUUCCAAAAAGAAAAUCAAAGCUCUUUUAGACUGACAGCUUCAGGUUGGGGGGAGCUUUGCCAUAUUAUAAAUAUAUAUAAAUAUAUGUAUAAAUAUACUUUUUUAAGCAUGGGAGAGGACAAAAGAAUACUACAUUAUAAAGUACCCAAUAUAGAUCAUUAUACAAUGGAAUAUGCACAAUUCAAUAAAGAUGUAGUUGAAUUUAAUAAUUUGUUUUAAUCCUCUGUCUUGCCAUUUUCCUUUUUCAUGAAUUCAGAACAUACAGUGUGUUCUCGAGCCAUCACUGGUCUCCUCUUUAGGGAUUAAAGAUCUGACGGCCUGAAGUACAGGUUGCCAUUUAUCUGCUUACUCUCAAUAAAAUUGCUUUUUAUUGUUCCUUUAUACAGUUUUUUUCCAGUGGGUCAGACAGAGCUGGCCCUACCAGUAACAUGGGGUACACCGAUUGCAGGUCUAAAGAGGACCCAGAGGACCUCUUCCCCAGGCACGCAGAGCCCU